GGGGUGCUGCGGAAGACGUUGCUGAAGGUCUAGAUGACUGAGUUGCACUACUUGAAGACAUGGCCUCUACCACAAGUUCGGGAUCGAUGUAUCUCUGGUAGAACUUGCGCUUGUAAUGAUCAACAACAUCGGGUCGAGAAGCCAUGUGAGGAGGGAUCAGAAUGUUGGACCAGUAAUCAGCCCAUCUGGGAUCGUUCUCGUAGUCGUAUGCUGCAGCCGCUACUCUCUUCAACCUCUGUGAAUCCUCUUGUUCUUCUCCCAUCCUGAAGUUCUUCGUUCUGAGCUCUCUCCUUCACUAUCUGAUGAUUC
rnacentral:misc_RNA from 1 species